rnacentral:pre_miRNA from 1 species
AGCACAAUUGCUGGAUCAUAUGGUAAAAGCAUGUUUACUUUUAUAAGAAACUGCCAAACUUUUUUCCAAAGUGGUUGUACCAUUUUGUAUUCCUACCAACAAU